GACGAACGCUGGCGGCGUGCUUAACACAUGCAAGUCGAACGGUAAGGCUCCAGCUUGCUGGGGUACACGAGUGGCGAACGGGUGAGUAACACGUGGGUGACCUGCCCUGCACUUCGGGAUAAGCCUGGGAAACUGGGUCUAAUACCGGAUAGGACCGCACCGUGAGGGUGUGGUGGAAAGUUUUUUCGGUGUGGGAUGGGCCCGCGGCCUAUCAGCUUGUUGGUGGGGUAAUGGCCUACCAAGGCGGCGACGGGUAGCCGGCCUGAGAGGGUGGACGGCCACAUUGGGACUGAGACACGGCCCAGACUCCUACGGGAGGCAGCAGUGGGGAAUAGUGCACAAUGGGCGGAAGCCUGAUGCAGCGACGCCGCGUGGGGGAUGACGGCCUUCGGGUUGUAAACUCCUUUCACCAUCGACGAAGGGUUUCUGACGGUAGAUGGAGAAGAAGCACCGGCUAACUACGUGCCAGCAGCCGCGGUAAUACGUAGGGUGCGAGCGUUGUCCGGAAUUACUGGGCGUAAAGAGCUCGUAGUGGUUUGUCGCGUCGUCUGUGAAUUCCGGGGCUUAACUCCGGGCGUGCAGGCGAUACGGGCAUAACUUGAGUACUGUAGGGGAGACUGGAAUUCCUGGUGUAGCGGUGAAAUGCGCAGAUAUCAGGAGGAACACCGGUGGCGAAGGCGGGUCUCUGGGCAGUAACUGACGCUGAGGAGCGAAAGCAUGGGGAGCGAACAGGAUUAGAUACCCUGGUAGUCCAUGCCGUAAACGGUGGGCGCUAGGUGUGGGUUUCCUUCCACGGGAUCCGUGCCGUAGCUAACGCAUUAAGCGCCCCGCCUGGGGAGUACGGCCGCAAGGCUAAAACUCAAAGGAAUUGACGGGGGCCCGCACAAGCGGCGGAGCAUGUGGAUUAAUUCGAUGCAACGCGAAGAACCUUACCUGGGCUUGACAUAUACAGGAUCGCGCCAGAGAUGGUGUUUCCCUUGUGGCUUGUAUACAGGUGGUGCAUGGUUGUCGUCAGCUCGUGUCGUGAGAUGUUGGGUUAAGUCCCGCAACGAGCGCAACCCUUGUCUUAUGUUGCCAGCACGUUGUGGUGGGGACUCGUAAGAAACUGCCGGGGUUAACUCGGAGGAAGGUGGGGAUGACGUCAAAUCAUCAUGCCCCUUAUGUCCAGGGCUUCACACAUGCUACAAUGGUCGGUACAGUGGGUUGCCAGUCCGUGAGGGCGAGCUAAUCCCGCAAAGCCGGUCUCAGUUCGGAUCGGGGUCUGCAACUCGACCCCGUGAAGUCGGAGUCGCUAGUAAUCGCAGAUCAGCAACGCUGCGGUGAAUACGUUCCCGGGCCU
rnacentral:rRNA from 1 species